rnacentral:rRNA from 1 species
AUUGAACGCUGGCGGAAUGCUUUACACAUGCAAGUCGAACGGCAGCAUAGGUGCUUGCACCUGAUGGCGAGUGGCGAACGGGUGAGUAAUACAUCGGAACGUGCCCAGUCGUGGGGGAUAACGUAGCGAAAGUUACGCUAAUACCGCAUACGAUCUAGGGAUGAAAGCGGGGGACCGUAAGGCCUCGCGCGAUUGGAGCGGCCGAUGUCAGAGUAGGUAGUUGGUGAGGUAAAGGCUCACCAAGCCGACGAUCUGUAGCUGGUCUGAGAGGACGACCGGCCACACUGGGACUGAGACACGGCCCAGACUCCUACGGGAGGCAGCAGCGGGGAAUUUUGGACAAUGGACGCAAGUCUGAUCCAGCCAUUCCGCGUGCAGGACGAAGGCCUUCGGGUUGUAAACUGCUUUUGUACGGAACGAAAAAGCUCUUACUAAUACUAGGAGUCCAUGACGGUACCGUAAGAAUAAGCACCGGCUAACUACGUGCCAGCCGCCGCAGUAA